rnacentral:rRNA from 1 species
AACGAACGCUGGCGGCAUGCCUAACACAUGCAAGUCGAACGAGACCUUCGGGCCUAGUGGCGCACGGCGGCGUAACGCGUGGGAACCUGCCCGUAGGUUCGGAAUAACUCCCCGAGAGGGGUGCUAAUACCGGAUAAUGUCUUCGGACCAAAGAUUUAUCGCCUUUGGAUGGGCGCGCGUUGGAUUAGCUGGUUGGUAGGGUAAUAGCCUAGCAAGGCGACGUUCCAUAGCUGGUCUGGGAGGAGGACCAGCUACGCUUGAACUGCGACACGGCCCAGACUGCUACGCAGGGCAGGAGUAGGGAAUAUUGGGCGAGGGGCGAAAGCCUAAUAAAGCAACGUGGGGUAAGUGAGGAUGGCCGUAGUGUUGUAAAGCCGUCUUAGCCGAGAUGAUAAUGACAGUACCGGGUGAAUAAGCUCCGGCUAACUACGUG